rnacentral:ncRNA from 2 species
UACCUGCAUCAAGAGUGGGCGCUGAGCCUGCACCAACCUGCUGACCCAGCAAGGUGGUUCCCCUCUAGGGAGAUGCGGCCGAAGAUUAGGCAACGAAAGGGUCUCCC